rnacentral:rRNA from 1 species
AGACCCGAAACCCGGUGAUCUAGCCAUGGGCAGGUUGAAGGUUGGGUAACACUAACUGGAGGACCGAACCGACUAAUGUUGAAAAAUUAGCGGAUGACCUGUGGCUGGGGGUGAAAGGCCAAUCAAACCGGGAGAUAGCUGGUUCUCCCCGAAAGCUAUUUAGGUAGCGCCUCGUGAAUUCAUCUCCGGGGGUAGAGCACUGUUUCGGCUAGGGGGCCAUCCCGGCUUACCAACCCGAUGCAAACUGCGAAUACCGGAGAAUGUUAUCACGGGAGACACACGGCGGGUGCUAACGUCCGUCGUGAAGAGGGAAACAACCCAGACCGCCAGCUAAGGUCCCAAAGUCAUGGUUAAGUGGGAAACGAUGUGGGAAGGCCCAGACAGCCAGGAUGUUGGCUUAGAAGCAGCCAUCAUUUAAAGAAAGCGUAAUAGCUCACUGGUCGAGUCGGCCUGCGCGGAAGAUGUAACGGGGCUAAACCAUGCACCGAAGCUGCGGCAGCGACACUGUGUGUUGUUGGGUAGGGGAGCGUUCUGUAAGCCUGUGAAGGUGUGUCGUGAGGCAUGCUGGAGGUAUCAGAAGUGCGAAUGCUGACAUAAGUAACGAUAAAGCGGGUGAAAAGCCCGCUCGCCGGAAGACCAAGGGUUCCUGUCCAACGUUAAUCGGGGCAGGGUGAGUCGACCCCUAAGGCGAGGCCGAAAGGCGUAGUCGAUGGGAAACGGGUUAAUAUUCCCGUACUUGGUGUUACUGCGAAGGGGGGACGGAGAAGGCUAUGUUGGCCGGGCGACGGUUGUCCCGGUUUAAGCGUGUAGGUGUGUGUUCCAGGUAAAUCCGGUUCACUUUAACACUGAGGCGUGACGACGAGGCACUACGGUGCUGAAGCAACAAAUGCCCUGCUUCCAGGAAAAGCCUCUAAGCAUCAGGUAACAUCAAAUCGUACCCCAAACCGACACAGGUGGUCAGGUAGAGAAUACCAAGGCGCUUGAGAGAACUCGGGUGAAGGAACUA